CCUGCCGGACCUGACUGCUAUCGGAUUGAUACUAAGCCAUGCGAGUCUUUGUAGUAAUACAAGGCAGACGGCUCAGUAACACGUAGUCAACCUACCCUAUGGACAAGAAUAAUCUCGGGAAACUGGGCAUAAUUCUUGAUAGAUCAUAAUGCCUGGAAUGGUUUAUGGUUAAAAUGAUUCGUCGCCAUAGGAUGGGACUGCGGCCUAUCAGCUUGUUGGUGAGGUAAUGGCCCACCAAGGCGAUUACAGGUACGGGCUCUGAGAGGAGAAGCCCGGAGAUGGGUACUGAGACACGGACCCAGGCCCUAUGGGGCGCAGCAGGCGAGAAAACUUUGCAAUGUGCGAAAGCACGACAAGGUUAAUCCGAGUGAUUUCUGCUAAAGAAAUCUUUUGCCAGUCAUAAAACCACUGGUGAAUAAGGGGUGGGCAAGUUCUGGUGUCAGCCGCCGCGGUAAAACCAGCACCUCAAGUGGUCAGGAUGAUUAUUGGGCCUAAAGCAUCCGUAGCCGGCUUUGUAAGUUUUCGGUUAAAUCCAUGUGCUCAACGCAUGGGCUGCCGAAAAUACUGCAUGGCUAGGGAGUGGGAGAGGUAGACGGUACUCAGUAGGAAGGGGUAAAAUCCUUUGAUCUAUUGAUGACCACCUGUGGCGAAGGCGGUCUACCAGAACACGUUCGACGGUGAGGGAUGAAAGCUGGGGGAGCAAACCGGAUUAGAUACCCGGGUAGUCCCAGCUGUAAACGAUGCAGACUCGAUGAUGCAUUGGCAUAAUAGCCAGUGCAGUGUCGCAGGGAAGCCGUUAAGUCUGCCGCCUGGGAAGUACGUACGCAAGUAUGAAACUUAAAGGAAUUGGCGGGGGAGCACCACAAGGGGUGAAGCCUGCGGUCAAU
rnacentral:rRNA from 1 species